rnacentral:rRNA from 1 species
ACGGAUCUCGAGGGUAGUUCAGACUUAUCGGAUUGUCUGGGCUGCUUAGAGGUUCCUGGAAAUAGCCCUCCAUCAGACCGUACCCUAAACCGACACAGGUGGGUAGGUAGAGUAUACUAAGGGGCGCGAGAUAACUCUCUCUAAGGAACUCGGCAAAAUGACUCCGUAACUUCGGGAGAAGGAGUGCCUUAUUUAUAAGGUUGCAAUAACAAGAUCCAAGCAACUGUUUAUCAAAAACACAGGUCUCCGCUAAGUCGUAAGACGAUGUAUGGGGGCUGACGCCUGCCCAGUGCCAGAAGGUUAAAGAAGUUGGUUAGUGUAUGCGAAGCUGAUGACUGAAGCCCUGGUGAACGGCGGCCGUAACAAUAACGGUCCUAAGGUAGCGAAAUUCCUUGUCGGGUAAGUUCCGACCCGCACGAAAGGCGUAAUGAUUUGGAUACUGUCUCGGAGAGAGGCUCGGUGAAAUAGACUUGUCUGUGAAGAUGCGGACUACCUGCACCAGGACAGAAAGACCCUAUGAAGCUUUACUGUAACUUGAAAUUGGAAUUGGACUUUGCUUGCGCAGUAUAGGUGGGAAGCGUUGAAGAUAUUCUUGCGGGAGUAUUGGAGCUAUCAGUGAGAUACCACUCUUGUAAUGUUAGAUUUCUAACUUUGAACCAUAAUCUGGUCAAAGAACAGUUUCAGGUGGGCAGUUUGACUGGGGCGGUCGCCUCCCAAAUGGUAACGGAGGCGUACAAAGGUUUCCUCUGAACGGAUAGAAAUCGUAUCUAGAGUGUAAAGGCAUAAGGAAGCUUGACUGUGAGACCUACAAGUCGAGCAGGGACGAAAGUCGGUCUUAGUGAUCUGACGGUACUGAGUGGAAAGGCCGUCACUCAACGGAUAAAAGUUACUCUAGGGAUAACAGGCUGAUCUCCCCCAAGAGUUCACAUCGACGGGGAGGUUUGGCACCUCGAUGUCGGCUCAUCGCAUCCUGGGGCGGUAGUACGUCCCAAGGGUUGGGCUGUUCGCCCAUGAAAGCGGUACGCGAGCUGGGUUCAGAACGUCGUGAGACAGUUCGGUCCAUAUCCGGUGUAGGCGUUAGAAUAUUGAGAGGAGCCUUCUUUAGUACGAGAGGACCGAGAAGGACACACCGCUGGUGUACCAGUUAUCGUGCCAACGGUAAACGCUGGGUAGCUAUGUGUGGAGUGGAUAACCGCUGAAAGCAUCUAAGUGGGAAGCCCACCUCAAGAUGAGUAUUCUCAUC